CGAGUCCGAGUCUCCACGGAGACGAAGUGGCAGUCAUCCAGCUUCCUAGAAAAGCUCUAACCACGUUAAUCUUUAGUUGCCUGUACCCGAAACCGACACAGGUAGGGGGGUAGAGAAUACCAAGGGGCGCGAGAUAACUCUCUCUAAGGAACUCGGCAAAAUGACCCCGUAACUUCGGGAGAAGGGGUACCACUGAGAAGUGGUCGCAGUGAAGAGGCCCAGGCGACUGUUUACCAAAAACACAGGUCUCCGCCAAGUCGCAAGACGAAGUAUGGGGGCUGACGCCUGCCCAGUGCCGGAAGGUUAAGGAAGUGGGUUAGGGAUUCGUCCCGAAGCUGACGACUGAAGCCCCGGUGAACGGCGGCCGUAACUAUAACGGUCCUAAGGUAGCGAAAUUCCUUGUCGGGUAAGUUCCGACCCGCACGAAAGGCGUAACGAUCUGGGCGCUGUCUCGGAGAGAGGCUCGGCGAAAUAGGAAUGUCUGUGAAGAUACGGACUACCUGCACCUGGACAGAAAGACCCUAUGAAGCUUUACUGUAGCUUGGAAUUGGGUUCGGGCUUGGUUUGCGCAGGAUAGGUGGGAGGCGAAGAAGAUUUGCUUGUGGGUGAAUCUGAGCCAACGGUGAGAUACUACUCUAACCAGGCUAGAAUUCUAACUUCAACCCGUCAACCGGGGGAAGGACAGUUUCAGGUGGGCAGUUUGACUGGGGCGGUCGCCUCCUAAAAGAUAACGGAGGCGCACAAAGGUUCCCUCAGGCUGGUUGGAAAUCAGCCAACGAGUGCAAAGGCAGAAGGGAGCUUGACUGCGAGACCUACAAGUCAAGCAGGGUGGAAACACGGUCUUAGUGAUCCGACGGCACCGAGUGGAAGGGCCGUCGCUCAACGGAUAAAAGUUACUCUAGGAUAACAGGCUGAUCUCCCCCAAGAGUUCACAUCGACGGGGAGGUUUGGCACCUCGAUGUCGGCUCAUCGCAACCUGGGGCGGAAGUACGUCCCAAGGGUUGGGCUGUUCGCCCAUUAAAGCGGUACGUGAGCUGGGUUCAGAACGUCGUGAGACAGUUCGGUCCAUAUCCGGUGUAGGCGCAAGAACAUUGAGAGGAGUCUUCCUUAGUACGAGAGGACCGGGAAGAACGCACCGCUGGUGUACCUGUUAUCGUGCCAACGGUAAACGCAGGGUAGCCAAGUGCGGAGUGGAUAACCGCUGAAAGCAUCUAAGUGGGAAGCCCACCUCAAGAUGAGUGUUCUCAUGGAGUAAUCCAGUAAGGUCACGGGAAGACGACCCGUUGAUAGGCGGUAGGUGGAAGUUCAGCAAUGGAUGAAGCCGAGCCGUACUAACAGACCGAGGGCUUGACC
rnacentral:rRNA from 1 species